AUUGAACGCUGGCGGCAGGCCUAACACAUGCAAGUCGAGCGGUAGCACAGAGAGCUUGCUCUCGGGUGACGAGCGGCGGACGGGUGAGUAAUGUCUGGGAAACUGCCUGAUGGAGGGAGAUAACUACUGGAAACGGUAGCUAAUACCGCAUAACGUCGCAAGACCAAAGUGGGGGACCUUCGGGCCUCAUGCCAUCAGAUGUGCCCAGAUGGGAUUAGCUAGUAGGUGGGGUAACGGCUCACCUAGGCGACGAUCCCUAGCUGGUCUGAGAGGAUGACCAGCCACACUGGAACUGAGACACGGUCCAGACUCCUACGGGAGGCAGCAGUGGGGAAUAUUGCACAAUGGGCGCAAGCCUGAUGCAGCCAUGCCGCGUGUAUGAAGAAGGCCUUCGGGUUGUAAAGUACUUUCAGCGGGGAGGAAGGCGAUAAGGUUAAUAACCUUGUCGAUUGACGUUACCCGCAGAAGAAGCACCGGCUAACUCCGUGCCAGCCGCCGCAGUAA
rnacentral:rRNA from 1 species